GAUCCUGCUCAGGACGAACGCUGGCGGCGCGCCUAACACAUGCAAGUCGAACGAGCGAGAGAGAGCUUGCUUUCUCGAGCGAGUGGCGAACGGGUGAGUAACGCGUGAGGAACCUGCCUCAAAGAGGGGGACAACAGUUGGAAACGACUGCUAAUACCGCAUAAGCCCACGACCCGGCAUCGGGUAGAGGGAAAAGGAGCAAUCCGCUUUGAGAUGGCCUCGCGUCCGAUUAGCUAGUUGGUG
rnacentral:rRNA from 1 species